GCUGUCUUAGCUCAAAUGGAUAGAGCAUGGUUCUUCUAAAGCCAAGGUUGUAGGUUCAAAUCCUAUCGGCAGCU
rnacentral:tRNA from 1 species